UAAGUGGGGCAGAUAAUCGCGGCUGUAGGCGUCGAAAGACCGCAGUUGAGGAAAGUCCGGGCUUCACAGGGCAGGAUGCCGGUUAACAGCCGGUGGAGGCGACUCCAAGGACAGUGCAACAGAAAUAUACCGCUGCUUGCAGCCAGAUUUCUUGCGGAAUCUGGUCACAAACAGUAAGGGUGGAAGGGCAGCUUAAGAGACUACCGCCUGUCUGGCAACAGGCAGGGCACAUGUAAACCCCAUCCGAAGCAAGGCCGAACAGGAGCGUUGACGUUGCCCGCCAGCUUCAGGUAGGCCGCAGGAUCUGACUGGCGACAGGCAGACUAGAUAGAUGAUUAUCCACGACAUAACCCGGCUUACCGCCCCGCUUAUUUA
rnacentral:RNase_P_RNA from 1 species